GUGCUCGCUUCGGCAGCACAUAUACUAAAAUUGGAAUGAUACAGAGAAGAUUAGCAUGGCCCCUGCGCAAGAAUACUAUCCACACUAGCUGAGUAACUCUAGCUAGGU